rnacentral:rRNA from 1 species
GACGAACGCUGGCGGCGUGCUUAACACAUGCAAGUCGAACGGAAAGGCCUGUCCUUCCUUGUGUUGGACGGGUACUCGAGUGGCGAACGGGUGAGUAACACGUGAGUGAUCUGCCCCCAACUUGGGUAUAAGCCUGGGAAACUGGGUCUAAUUCCCGAUAGGACUGCAGGGUGGUGCCUGUGGUGGAAAACGAUUUUCUAGUGGUUGGGGAUGAGCUCGCGGCCUAUCAGCUUGUUGGUGGGGUAAUGGCCUACCAAGGCGGCGACGGGUAGCCGGCCUGAGAGGGUGGACGGCCACAUUGGGACUGAGAUACGGCCCAGACUCCUACGGGAGGCAGCAGUGGGGAAUAUUGCACAAUGGGCGGAAGCCUGAUGCAGCGACGCCGCGUGGGGGAUGACGGCCCUCGGGUUGUAAACUCCUUUCGACCGCGAGGAAGCCGCCUGGUUGGAAGGGUGGUGACGGUAGUGGUAGAAGAAGCACCGGCUAACUACGUG